rnacentral:rRNA from 1 species
AGCAGCCGCGGUAAUUCCAGCUCCAAUAGCGUAUAUUAAAGUUGUUGCAGUUAAAAAGCUCGUAGUUGAAUUUCGAGACCGGUUUAUUGGUCGUGCUUUUGUACGUACUGGUAUUAUUGGUUUCUCCUUUCUGACGAAUCUUAAUGCCAUUAAUUUGGUGUUUUGGGGAAUCAGGACUGUUACUUUGAAAAAUUAGAGUGUUUAAAGCAGGCUCACGCUUGAAUACAUUAGCAUGGAAUAACGGAAUAGGACGUUUGAUUCUAUUUUGUUGGUUUCUAGGAUCGACGUAAUGAUUAAUAGGGAUAGUUGGGGCAUUAGUAUUCAAUUGUCAGAGGUGAAAUUCUUGGAUUUAUUGAAGACUAACUACUGCGAAAGCAUUUGCCAAGGAUGUUUUCAUUAAUCAAGAACGAAAGUUAGGGACCGAAGACGAUCAGAUACCGUCGUAGUCUUAACCAUAAACUAUGCCGACUAGGGAUCGGAUGAUGUUAAUUUUUUAAUGACUCAUUCGGCGCCUUACGGG